rnacentral:rRNA from 1 species
CCUACGGGAGGCAGCAGUGGGGAAUAUUGCGCAAUGGACGAGAGUCUGAACCAGCCAAGUAGCGUGAAGGAUGACUGCCCUAUGGGUUGUAAACUUCUUUUAUAUGGGAAUAAAAUGUUCCACGUGUGGGAUUUUGUAUGUACCAUAUGAAUAAGGAUCGGCUAACUCCGUGCCAGCAGCCGCGGUAAUACGGAGGAUCCGAGCGUUAUCCGGAUUUAUUGGGUUUAAAGGGAGCGUAGGUGGAUUGUUAAGUCAGUUGUGAAAGUUUGCGGCUCAACCGUAAAAUUGCAGUUGAAACUGGCAGUCUUGAGUACAGUAGAGGUGGGCGGAAUUCGUGGUGUAGCGGUGAAAUGCUUAGAUAUCACGAAGAACUCCGAUUGCGAAGGCAGUUCACUGGACUGCAACUGACACUGAGGCUCGAAAGUGUGGGUAUCAAACAGGAUUAGAUACCCUAGUAGUC